AACGGGUUAUUGGCUGCAUGUAAACGUAGUCUGUGAUACAUAACCUGUUAAUAAGGACAUAUUUAUCAUAUCUAGUAAAGAAGUGUUAACCACGAGUAACGCUUCUUUAAGUAGCCUCGUUGGGAUGGGGUCUAAGAGAUGGGUAGAUGGCUUAGCUGAAGACACCUUAAUAUUAAUUGUUGAAGGUCUAUAGGAUUAAAGCAGUUGUGACAGGAUGAGGUUUGCCCCUCCCUCUUACCUGUGCAUGGAAGUGCGCACCAGCACACCUGGGGCUCAUCCCCUUUGAUUGGGAGCAGGUGGGGGCUCUAUUUAAGCCUGUGUGUAGACUUGUUCUUUUUCUGUCUUCUCCUGUUGGGUGUGGAGACGUGUCUGGGCUGGCGUGCUGCAUGCUUUUUGCCACUGCCAGAGGUUGUCAGUUGCUGCAUCCUUCGUGCCUUUCAUUGUUUGUAUUUCCGUGCGGGUGGCAUUAACGAGCGUUUGUUUCGGCCGUGGACGUCCCUGUGUGGCCACAUGAACACCUGGGCUGCUGGCGUUGUGUGCCUCGUUGGGUGCUGUGUGGUUGCACGGAUUGCGUGCACCCCUGCUGGGGUCUGAGGGCGGCGUGUCCUGUAAAGCGCUGCAAAGAGCUACAGCCUUGUGCAUGCUGUUGUGGAGGCUGCCGGGGGCCACAGUUAUCUAAGCGGCCAACACUCCCCGGCGCAUUUCUCCUCCCACUCUUGCUGUUCUGGAUAUCGGCACAGGCUGUUCUGGAUACUGGUACAAAAAGUGUCUGGAAUUAUGGGACUGUUCUGGGCGCAUAGAGCUGGUUUGGAUUGAUACGGCUAAGCGUUUGAACACCCAGACAUUGACUUUGUAAAUAUUGGUAUUAACCUUGUAUAUAUUGCAUGUGGGUUUUUGUCCUUCUUUUCCUUGUGUUGAUUUUGGUUUAUUUUGUUCCUUUUAAUUAUGCAUGCUGGUUUGUUGUUUUGAAUUGUUUUGUUUAUUACUUUUCCAAUAUUCAUUGUAUGCUUUCUUCUAACCUAAAAGAUUCUACUAU